CCUACGGUGGGCAGCAGUGGGGAAUAUUGGACAAUGGGCGAAAGCCUGAUCCAGCCAUGCCGCGUGUGUGAAGAAGGCCUUCGGGUUGUAAAGCACUUUCAGUGGGGAAGAAAGCCUUGGGGCUAAUACCCUCGAGGAAGGACAUCACCCACAGAAGAAGCACCGGCUAACUCCGUGCCAGCAGCCGCGGUAAUACGGAGGGUGCGAGCGUUAAUCGGAAUUACUGGGCGUAAAGCGCGCGUAGGCGGUCUGAUAAGCCGGUUGUGAAAGCCCCGGGCUCAACCUGGGAACGGCAUCCGGAACUGUCAGGCUAGAGUGCAGGAGAGGAAGGUAGAAUUCCCGGUGUAGCGGUGAAAUGCGUAGAGAUCGGGAGGAAUACCAGUGGCGAAGGCAGUCUUCUGGACUGACACUGACGCUGAGGUGCGAAAGCGUGGGUAGCAAACAGGAUUAGAUACCCCAGUAGUC
rnacentral:rRNA from 1 species